AUGCGAAUUCUUUUUUUUUUUUUUUUUUUUUUUUUUUUUUUUCUUGUUGCUGGAAGAAGAACACAGCGGUGCAAAUUCUUGAUUUUUUUUUUCCUCUUCUUGCUGGAAGUAGCACAUAACAGUGCGAAUUCGUAAUUAUUUUUGUUCUCUUCUUGCUGGUAGUAGAACACAGCAGCUUUAUACGUAAUUUCUAGGAAGAAGAAGAAGAUGGUUCAUGAGUCUGGGCUUUUGUUGCUGCUUCAAUCUAUUUGGGUGUUUAUUGUCUGUCCAUAAACAUUUGCAAAUUCAUAAAAAAAAGUAUAAAAAUUUGGAUGCAUAUGCCAAAAAUCAAUCGGCAUAAAACCAGAGAAAGAGAGAGGAGAAGAGGCGGAGCUAUUGUCAGCUAUCACGUGUGGGGUAUUAGUGGGAGAGGCAAGUAUAUCAUGUUCGCUGCCAGAGAAUGGUGUUUCCAAUUCAUAUUCUCUCUUCUCAGAAAAGGCAGUUGAUGAACUUCUUCAAUCUCCAGUUCAGGGAUUUGAUGAUCACCUUGUAGAGUUCUCAGAAGCCUUGAGAACUGUUGCAAAGGCCUUAAGGUGUGCUGUGGAAAGAAAGGCUUCUGCUCAAGCUGAGGCAGCUGAAUGGAAGCGUAAAUAUGAACUGGAGAGAGCAUGAAAUCUGCAAAUGGAGUGCAAAGAUGGUGGAAAUAUCCCUAGAUAAUGCAAUGGGAAAUGUGGGAUUGGUGCUUUCCUUCUAGUGUUCUGGGAAAUUUGAGAAGAGCAGGACAGUAGAUUUUCUGAAGGCUUCAUUUGAACUUUCAUGGUGCUGCAAAGGUGAACAAAGUGAUCAGCACAAACAUUACAUUGUCUCUUUUGAAAGAGGGAAUAUAAUAACUGCAGAACGAAGCAGUAAGCAGAUCUCUUUGAGGUGGAAAUCACACCCACAAAUUGUGCUUAUUUUGACCAAACCGAAUUCAAUUUCUGUCCAAGUUCUGUGCAGAAAUGGUCAGGUUUGAAUACAAAAUUAUGAUCUCCUAUAUUUUUUUUUCCAAGGGCUAUUUUCUGCAAUUUCUUUAUGCAAUAUUUUUAUAACAGGUAAAUGUGGUAGUAGAACAAUCAGAUUUGAGCUUUGUAAAAUGCCUGCAGGCAUUAUACUAGUUUAGGAUUGAGUUUAAAUUAAACCAGGUAUUCUUGAAUUACUCAAGGAGCACUUGCGGAAAACUCUUUGCUGAGGGCCUGUGCACCUCCAGGAUUAGUCAGGACUUUGUUCUUGGGCACCCGGUGCCAUUAAAAAAGAAAAAAAAAAACAGAUACCCUCAUCUUACAACUGCUACAAGUUCUCUUUUGUAACUGCUACUGUAUGCGUUCUGCUCUUUAAUCACUAAAAUUGCAACUAAAAAGGUAAUUUAAUGAAAUUUGAGGAGACUUUUUGUACUAUUCAUGUAUUAAGAAAAAGAAGAGGAAAUAACUGGGUAAGAAUCUACGCAUUACAUAAGCUCUUAAAGGGACUGACUGAAAAUUAGAGAGCGAUGAGGAUGUUGUCCCCCACUCUCUCUCUCUAGAAACAAUUUUAGACAUGGAUAUUUAAAAACUUCAUAUAUUCUUUGGCAGCAAUCAUCACUCAGUGAUGUUGUAGAAUUUUUCUAAAUGUGCUCCAUGUUUUUUUUUUUUUUUUUUUGAUAAGUAAAAAAUGUGCUCCAUGUUAAUAAGCUAAAUGUGUUUUUGGAACAAAUGUCAAUCUGAUUGGCUUCCAUCCAUAUAAACUUUAUGUUAUGUAAUUUCUUUUGUUAAUCCUUUGUUGACCAUUUGAAUGCAUCUAACUAGCAUAAAUUUGUGUUAGGAGCCUUAAAUUCCAAAAGCUUGAGCUAUCAGCAAGUGUAUCAAACACACACCCAUGCACAAGCCUGCCCAGUAAUUAUGGAUUGGUCCUUGUACUUGCAGAACCGAAGAAAUCACCGAAUGGGAGUUUCACGAUUGUAACUAAAGACCUCUUAGUCAAGCGAGCUCUGAUGUGAUUAACAUCAAGCACACACUGAAAAUAAUUUAAUAUAUAACUGACAUGCUGACCGGUGGGUUAUGUCAUUGGUCUUUCUAUUGCUCUCUCUCUCUCUCUCUCUCUCUCUCUCUCUAAGCUAAAAGACUUUGUUGUAUCAUUUUGGUGUCUAAUUUUAGAUCUGCCUUUCUAAAAAAAAUCUUGUUUCAAAUUAUAUUAUUUUUCUUCUUUCCCCGAUGGUUGAGGGAACAGAAAAAAUUGGACAUAUAUAUUGAGCCACGCAUGCGAGUUGAACUUCUUGCAGGAUCAUCUUACUUCAGUUUUGUACAAACAUGGAAAGAUGGUGAGCAGUGGAACAUUUCAUUGGAUCCCCAGUUAUAAAACAUGGAACUUUGUUUAUUUGUUGUUGCAAUGUAUAGAAAAACCUUGCAUACGAUAGAUAAUUAAAACCUUUUCUCACAGCUCUUCUGGUCA